rnacentral:rRNA from 1 species
UUUUUGCAAUAUGGCGCAUUGGUUAAGGUGAUUGAGUUACGGGCCGGAAUCCUCAAUUAACUGGUUGUUCGGGGCAAAAGGGGCUGGGAAAUUCGCCGAGGGAGGGGGGAAAAGGAGGGUCCGGCCCUCGGGGUUGGUUAGGAAAGGCUGGAAUAAUCUGCCCUGGGGGGGGGAUGCCUCCGAGGAGAAUUUUUAAUAUUCCCCCAUAACUCUGGUUGGCCGAACUGUUUUUAAGGCAAAAGUUCCGGCGCCAAAGGGGGGGCUUGUGCCCUAUCGGGUGCCCCUGCGUGUACUGAACUCCCAACCCCACCACGCCUUAGGGUCCGGAAAAGAGAUCCCCGCAAAUGCCUUUGAGACCUGAGUCCAGCCCCUGGGGGGUUGCAUCUUUUAAUAUCUAAAAGGGGAAAUCCGGGAAAAGUAAUCCCGGGGCCUAACCUUUUUUUUUGGCUGUUUAUUGAUCAAAAACCUGGAUUUAAGGGCGGGCACACCUGGGGCCUUUCCCGGGGUAAAUCAAAGGCAUCGGGGGGUUCUUUUUUUUGGGCCUACCCCGCCCUUCCCGGUUUGUAAACCUUGGGCAAACCCGCCCGCUUAAGUGUCCAAUCUUGGAGACCGGCCCAGACUGGGCCCGGGAAACCCCAAACCCAUUCCGGGGGGGGGCCACACCUGGAACCCGAGAAAGGACCCCCUGGGGAAGGGGUUUUCUUAAAACGGGCCCGAGGAAUGGGAAAAGCCCUGGUCCCCAAACGGGUUCUACCCCGGGGGGCAGGGGGCCACCCCCGGGUGUGUUUUUGGGGUCCCCCCGGGGCUUGGGGCCAAAAAAAAAUUUAAACCCCCCCUCGCGGAUUCCCCCCCGGGUUCUCCCUUCCGGGGGUUGGGGGGGGGCAACAAAAAGGGGGACCGGGGGGUUUAUUGUUUUCCCCCGGGGGAACUCCCGCGGGGCCCGGCCUUUUUCAUGGCCAUUUUUUGAAUUUCUCAAGUUUACCCCAAAGAGUGGGUUGGUGCCCUCCCUUCCCCCCCCCCUCGCGUUCUUGUAUAAUUUAUAAAAAAAAAGAAAGCCCCCCCCCCCUUUGUGUUCCUUUUGUAUCUCCUUUUUUAUAUUUUCCCCCCUUAUCUCUUUAAGUU